GAUGAACGCUAGCGAUAGGCUUAACACAUGCAAGUCGAGGGGCAGCAUGGUCUUCGCUUGCUACGAAUGAUGGCGACCGGCGCACGGGUGAGUCACGCGUAACCUACUUGUCUCACAGAGGGGGAUAACCCGUCGAAAGACGGACUAAUACUGAGAUCAUUCUCUUUAUGGUAUAAAAGGUAGAGGCAAUGAAGUUCGCUGUGAGAUAGGCAUGCGUCCCACUAGCUGGUUGGGGAGGUAACGGCUCACCACGGCAACGAUGAGUAGGGGCACUGAGAGGGUGCUCGGCCACAACGGAAGUGAGAAACGGUCCAGACUCCUACGGGAGGGAGCAGUAGGGAAUCUUCAGCAAUGGGAGAAAGCCUGACGGAGCAACGCCGCGUGAGUGAUGAAGGUCUUCGGAUAGUAAAACUCUGUUAUUAGGGAAGAACAAAUGUGUAAGGAACUAUGCACAUCUUGACGGUACCUAAUCAGAAAGCCACGGCUAACUACGUG
rnacentral:rRNA from 1 species